ensembl:snRNA U6 U6 spliceosomal RNA
GUAUUUUAAAUAAGGGCAACACAUAUACCAAAAUUGGAGCAAUACAGAGAAGAUUAGCAUGCCCUGGGCCAGGAUGACAUGCAAAUUCAUGAAGCAUUAGAAAAAAAA